UACGUAGGGGGCAAGCGUUGUCCGGAUUUAUUGGGCGUAAAGAGCUCGUAGGCGGUCUGUCGCGUCGGCUGUGAAAACUCGGGGCUCAACCCCGAGCCUGCAGUCGAUACGGGCAGACUAGAGUGCGGUAGGGGAGACUGGAAUUCCUGGUGUAGCGGUGAAAUGCGCAGAUAUCAGGAGGAACACCGGCGGCGAAGGCGGGUCUCUGGGCCGUAACUGACGCUGAGGAGCGAAAGCGUGGGGAGCGAACAGG
rnacentral:rRNA from 1 species